rnacentral:tRNA from 1 species
GGUUUGUGGUUCAGCGGUAGAGUCCUUGCCUAGCUCGUGCGAGGCCCUGGGUUCGAUCCUCAGCACCA